rnacentral:lncRNA from 1 species
GCCAAACCCAUCGCCGGAGUCCGUCGAGGCAUACGUCAUCGCGCUAUAGAUCAUCGUCUCGUGCGUGCUACAGCUACAGCACAAACGCAGAGUUGUUGAUGUAGAUACAUGCAUCGCCUACAUAACCUAAAAAGCUAAGUCGCUGGAGCAAAUCCCGGCAUACGGAAAGCUAAGUCGCUGAAUCAAAGUAGUAUUUGUUCGAUCAAGGUUAACGUGUUGUUUGGUUCGGAUGAUUGUAACGUAACUUAUUUACGGAGGGUAAUAGAUGCCGUUGGAUAGUGUUUGUUUUAGGCCUCGUGUGAUCGGAUCACGCGGUAACGGAUACCCGACUUCCCAAAAGCGAUAACACUCUAACCGUGAUGCUUUCAAUCAUGCCUAAUAAAUCAUAGCACGACUUCAUCUCAAAACUUAUCUUUCCCAGCGCUCAUGCCUGCACAUAAAAAUCUUGUUGCAUACAUGAUUUCAGGAUCAUCUUGCACAAGAUUUGAACCACAACUGACAUGAAUUGGAGCAAACACACCUUGAGUAAUUGAACCCAAUAACAGUCGCGUGAAGGACGCCUUCUCAUGCUACACACGUCAUCACCGUUUUACUGUGCAGCGUUGAGAAAGCUAGAAAAAACAGCCUCUCUGAUAGAGCGAUCACAGCGAUUGGAUAGAAGGGUUUCGUUCUGGUCGUUCCUAUUGGGUCAAACUGGUCCAGAUAACACCUACCCCAGGACCGUCCUCCCUUUCCCUUCUGAACGAAGCAAACUGCAAACCUAACCGGCCGGCACGAGCGUCGCCAGCAGGAGAGGAACUGGCUCCGCUCUCUCACGCAGUUACACGCACGUGGUCGUCUCGAGGGAGGAGUGGGUGGGAGGAGAAGGCGGCGGCGGCAGUUUCGAUCUGUGCUCUGCCUUACGCGGGAGGCAGCGGAUCGAUCUGGACGAACUGGCUGCCGGAAGGAUGGGAGGAAGAAACCAUCGUUGGCCGGCUGGGGGUCAGCAGGUCCGGAUCCGCGCAUUGUCUCCUUAUGCGCCAGGUCUCUUUUUCCAACUUCUUCCUCUUGAUUUCCUGGGUGUUAUUUGGUCAAAUUGGGGGUGAUUUUAGCUUCCCCUGAUCCAGUGCGAAGCAAGGCGCCCAUCGCCCGUCGCCCAUGCCAAUCCUCCUCGGCUCGUUAUCGUCUCUGUUAGGCAGGUGAGAGAUGAUGCUUCCUCUCCGGGUCUCUCCUGGAUAUUGUACUGUGUGCGAUUAUUGGAGAGUCACCCGCAAAAAAUAAAAAAAUAGUAAUAAUAUUGGAGAGUCGUGUGGUUUUCAGCGGAGUUGACUUGUUAGCUCCGCAUGCACUUUCUUAAUUCAUCCUGCAUGACGCCAAUGAUUUCUGCUGGUUUUCUGUAACUCCAUCGGGAAAAUGAUUGCAUAGUUCGUGGAUGUGAAUUUCCUGAACAAGACGCGGAUUUAGCUGCAGUCUGCCUGGUUGGAAGGAAAUGAAAUAGGCACAACACAAGAAAUCAUUAACUGGUGUGUUUGUGAGAAAGCACGCAAUCACAUUAUCUUUUGUUUGGCUGCAUGUAGUCUCACUAAAAGAGAAGAAAUGAUUGUUCAUUACGUUCACUGGUUGUAAUAACAAGUACCACGUACUCACUUCUGUUUCUUAAUGUAGCCUCCAAUGAUCAGCACCCUUCAUUCUGCUUCAUAUGUAUCCUAGGAGGUUGCAUAUGGAGCUAGGCUGAAGUUUGAUUCGUUUCUUGGUUGGAAACAAAUCAGUUAUACCAUGCGUGAGAUUAUGAGAUUAAAUAAAUAGCCAGGCUGAGGUCUCACCGGUCAGCCUGUCAAUUUGUUUGUUAGGUUAGGCUGAUACGGACAAUAACAAAGAAAAAGACACCGGAACGGGUGAUAGAUCACACCACAUCUUCAUCUUUUCUGCAUAUUUCACUCUUAAUGCAUUUCUGCAUGUUCAUUUGCUAUUUUGCACCAGGUUAGUUGCAACAACUUCAGGCUGAUCUUUGUUUACGCAUUUUCUGUAUUCCUGUCUUGAGCUGCCUAUCUAUAUAUCUAGGAUAUUCUAUAUAGCCAUAAUAGAUUUUCUUGUGACUAUCUAUGAACCAAUUUUGUGUCUACAUAGAGCUUGUUGUCUGAUAUAACCUUAAUAUUACUGUAUUGCAUGCUAAAUGUUUGCAGACAGGGCAAACCAUUGCUAUUAGGAAGGUUCUUCAGGAUAAGCAGUACAAGAACCGCGAGCUUCGGACCAAACACCUACAUGACCACCCAAAUGUCGUAGCUCUGAAGCAUUGUUUCUUUUCUACAACUGAGAAGGAUGAAAUUUUGCUGAACUUGGUUCUCGAGUAUGUAUAUCGCAUUACCGCACUACCUCCUUAGUGGUUUGGUAGCGGGACAGAAUAGGGUGGUGGAGGUGAGGCAGCAGAGAGUGGGCGCUGGCCAUGCUCGCGAGGCCAUCCGUGAUGCAUCGAAUAUGUUAGCAGGUUUGCACUGCGCUCAUGAUCAUCAUAUGUUUGUUAAAAUGCAUUUCCUUCUCAGUUUUAUGUUUAAUCUUUUGAGUUGUAGUUACUAUAUAAAUUUAUAAACUGAGAUGUGGAGAUUGCAAUAUUGAUCUAAGUUCAGUUCAGUCUAUUACGUGACCUGAGUUUGUUAUCCAUGAUUUCCCUCAUUUCUUUGUUAUCGCACAUGUUCAUUAAUUGAUUAUAGUCUACUUCAGGUUUUUUUGUGCAUUUAGUUCUAGGUUGUUUUGAUCUGAGCAAGUGGCUCCCAGCUUUUCAUUGAUUUUGUAGAAUCGUUCAUUAUAUCGAGCCAUACCUGAUACUGAAUCUGAACGUUUCCAUCUCUGGUACCAUGGCACGACAUUGUGGCCGUAUCUUGCGGAAGAAGAGGACGACAAUGGCUUACAGAUGAAGAUGACAGUGGCAACUUGCAGUGUAACAGGCUCACAAUGCCGCCAUGGAUACUCUCCCGCACUAGCUAUUCAGGUAUAUUUAUUUUCUCCAUCUGAACUUCUAUAAAAUUAUGGGCUGCAGCUGCAUACGACAGAAAUUAUUGCGAAGGAGAAAAUGCUUGCAUGAUAGAUAAUGUAACUUCUAUUGUUGGAACUUAACUGUGAUAGUGUAUUAUUAAGAGAAAUAAGUUAGUACUAUAUUAUUAAAAGAAUGUUCAGGUUAGGAAGUACAUAUUUGUCUAUUCAUACGGCAACAAGCAUAAUCUCAUAUUGUUUUAUAUCCUGGAUUCUGACCAACUGAUCACACUGGCCUGAUUACAACUAUUGGGUGGUCAAACUGAAUUGGUAGAGCUGUAGCACAGAGGACGCAGGGUAUAUUUCUGUCUAAUGCAGCUGGAAGGUGAGUGUAUAAACUUCAGUGAUUGUGCAUAACAAAAGCCAUUGGGAGGGGAAGAACAUAUUGAGUUGUACUCAAAUAUUUCUGAAAACUCAAGAUCCAUAUGCUUUUAGACUUCCAGGCAUGCAUAAAAAUACACACUUGAUUAAUUUAGUGUGAAGAGAUCACUGUCCAUGUGUUACUUAGAUUAGCUUUGCUGCUUUGAGGCAAUAGAGUUUUGAGGCCCACUGGUUCAUUAAAGAGGUAUUUUUCUUCUUCUUCUUCUUAUGCUCUCAUUGUUCUUCUCUUUUGUGCUUUAACAUUGUUCUUGUGUUUCCGCUUAAUCUAAGGUUGUCAACAAUCAGCUGUUUGCUAUUUGUAGGAUUUUAUUGUAAACUUGGAAAUCCAUUGGCAAAUAGCGCUAUUUGGGAUACUGGUUGUAUUGUUCCCCCCCGUUGGUCUGGACAUGCCUUUGGAUUCUUCCAAGUAGAAAGAUGAUUUUGUUUUUUCUAUCUUAGUAAUAAAAAUGAAAGGUUAAUACCAUUAUGUUCUCUGAAUAUUGCUAUGGCUGAUAUGCUACUUGAUUAAAUAAUUGUGGUUUUCUUAAACUAGCAAUAUUUCUAAUUUUCUCUUUUUGGGAGGAUAACAGUAAUUUAUGUGGUGUUAACAUCUGUAAUUUGGUGAGGACUUUCCAUUCAUUGGAUAUUAAGAUGUCCAGUUGUUGAUAUUCGGAGAAUCUGCUCAUCUUUUUCUUUUGUUAGUCUCUCCAUGAAGGAAAGGUAAGGAAUUGCAUCGUGCUGCUAACUUUGCUCUUUUCACUAUGGAGUUAAGGCCCUUACUCUUAGGGUGUGUUUGGUUCGGGAACGAAGUGUAAUGGAAUGUCAUGGUUCCAUUCCACUAGAAUGGGUCGGUUCCAUCCUUGUGUUUGGUAGACAUAAUUCGAAGGAAUAGAAUGGUUACGUUUCGUUGUUUGGUCUGAGAGAUGGAAUGGAAUUGAUUUGUUCAUCUCACCUUGAAUUCUGUUGAAUUUCAAUCAAACAAAAAUCACCGAAUAAAGUACUCAUCCAUCGAUCCAUGCAACAAAGGCGUGUGAGCAUCAACGAUUCACGAACUGAAGGAUUGAGCACGCUUCGUCAAAAACAAAUCGCAGAGAACCAGAGAAGAUAAUAUCGGACUCAUGCUACAAGAUCAACAGCAGCCACCCAACACAAGAUCCCAGCGUGCUACAAGAUCAAUAAUAGGCACCUACAAGAUCCCGGCGUGCUCAUGCAGUGUAUUAGGUCAGAGGGAAGAGAGAGAGAGAAGGGCAGAGGUCCGUGGGUCGCCAUCAAGGGAGAUACAGAGGGGCGACUCAAGGUUGUGGGCAAGCAAGGCGUUCCGCGUUGUCAGCUUGAUUUGGAGGAACUACUUGGUUCGGCAUAUAGCAUGAAUAUUCCUCUCCCGAGAACCAGUGCGUUCCAUUCCGUUUUCCAACCAAACACGAGAACGACCUCCAGGGACGGGUCCGACCCAUUACGUUCCACUUCGUUCCUCGAACUGAACACACCCUUAGCUACAUAUACUAACUGAGGUUCGGUUCAAUUACUCGAUUCAAGAUUCAAAUAUAUGUUCGGUGCAUUCAAUUCUAGUUGUUCUCAGUAGAAAUUGAUUCUGCUCUUAUCUUCUUUUCAUGGUUUUAUCUUUUGAUCUUCGCAAACUACUAGCAGCAAUAAAGCAAGACAUUUGUCGAUAGUGCUCGGACCCUUCCCCGGACCCUGUGCAAGCGGGAGUUAUGUGCACCGGGCUGCUAUUUAGAGCAUAUCUAAGUUCUUGGUGUUCAGUAUGAUAAAAGGAAACAUGUUUCUUUUUAUUUUUAUCGUCGUCAUUUUAGUUCAUUCAUGUGAUCUUUCAUGCUCUAAAUAGUCUUUUGGUACUAGCAGCAAUAUCAUAUUAUGUCUCUGAAAAAUUCUUUCAGCAACGAUUGUGUCCUCGCAAUUGCGAAGUCUGAGAUUGAACUACAGAAAUUCAGGAUCCUUAUGUUUUUGAAAGAACACAUACACAGGCCGCGGAGCCAGUCUCUCGCAUAGGUAACGGUCGCUCUCACGGACACUACUGCUAGAUAAUCAGAGUACUAUCAGAAGCUCCAUUGCUGGAUCAAGGCUCGCCAAACCCACAGUUGGAUGACACUGGUGGACGCAAGACGUGAUGCAUCUAUGGUUAUUUUAGAAAACAAACACUAUUUGAGGGACCAUUUCAUCUCGCAAUGGACUUUAAGAUGGGGAUUCAUUUGUCAUGUCAUGGUACUGAUACACUCUAAUUAUUCAGAAAAGUAUCCAGUAUACUAUUUAUGGUAAUGUCCAUCAGCUGAUCACAGAGAUCUUUGAGAAUCAACCCUGGCCUCUUCGGGAUUUAACCUCUGAAUUAAUUUUUGAAUGAGAUGUAGUUUUUGUGGCCAAGAUAUGCAUGAUACGUAUGCCCCAAGUCUCAUGACCAGUUUAUUUUCUUUUUGGUUGUGAUGGUAUGUAAUUUAGCUUAAUAAUACCUCCUGAUAUAUAUUUUUUUCACAAUCUUUUUUUGUCUGGUUAUUGUGAAUGAGUAGAAUGAACAAGCCUAGGAUUAAAGUUCACACACAAGCUAAGCUUCUCACUUGAGUUUGCAUGUAUUACACCCUUAACCCAAAAGGCACGGACUGAGAUGCUCCUGCAAUUAAAGGGCGCACAGCUUUGCCUCAAGAGGCGCGCCCCAUCCACUAGUAAAUAUGUCAAACAUAGUAGUCUUCUUCUUGUCUCUUUGCUCCUAUUGCUUGCAGAGCCCUUCCCGUGGUUGGCUGUGCUGGCUGGGAUUGGGCAACUAAAGGUGAUAUGCAUGUGCAUCCAUUAUCACUUAGUGUCCCAUAGGGACUUCUCCUCUUAUAUAUUUUAUAAGCACAGUGCCACAGGGGGGCCCACCUGUCAGAUGAUUUUUUUUUUGUGCAUGUGCCCCCAAUCAGGGCAAAAGUUCAUACUGUAGCAGCCUUAAUAAUUGAUCUUAAUUGACCAAGGUUUAGCUUAGAUACAAAAAUCAUCUGUUUUGUCUAGAGAUGUGUGAUGUUACCACUUAUAUUACUCCCACUGUGGGUAGUCUUAAUAAAAUGGCAUAUGAGAUAAAAGGAUUGCAAUGGUCCAUUAGUACCGCAUAACCCAGUUACUACAAUAUACCACGUCAUCUCGAAAUGGAAGAGUGAAAAGUCCAGGGAAAGGAAACCCUGGUUCCCCGGGCACAGGGACAUUUUCCAACCCCAGGUUAAUGAUUGCCUUAGUUCCAACAGCCAGUGUCCGGCAGCUUUCUAGUCUUUUCAAGGCAAUAUUGAUGUAAGAUGUCAGAUAGAUAAGCAACUUGUCUGCUGGGCUUUUGACAUGUUAGUUUUUGAAGAAAACAUUUGCUCGGAAGAAAGUUAUCGCCUCAUCGACUAUAUCUGCUUUAUCUGUAAUAGCAUCAACAUUAGUUAGCAGUUCGGCAUGGUCGUGCAGGAAUGGAAGUACAUCAUUAACUGUGUCUGUUGUUGUACCGGUACCUGAAUCUGAGGCUGGGGCUAGGCCCUUGAUAUGUGUUUUUAGUGGAAGAAAGGACACCCACAGGCUUUUGUGAUCCUGUCAUCGUCAGUGAAACUAGAGUGAUAAACCUGUCCUCGAGGGAGGAAUGCAUAUGGUGCUCACUAUCACUAGUUAACAUUAACCAUGACCAAACUAGAACUAACAAAAGUAUGUGGGAAACUAAAGCAAGCGAUGAGCACAUUCGAUAGUUAUUUGCUACCAUCCAUCUUACCUUCGUCAAACGCCUAAACCCAUUAAAGGUGUUCCUAAAGGUGUAACUAUAAUUGAAGUGCUUUAACCCCACAAAAUUUAUGUCACCGUACUACCUUUUGUCCUGUUUGAAAUACCAUGACUUUUAUAAGCAGAAGACAGCAUACAACUAUAUGGCUUGUAUGUUUGACAUGCAAAUGAAAGUGUCAUAUAGCUUCAUCAUUUGAUUUGGAGAUAAAUCAAGUGAUAUAGUAGUUGUACUUCAAUGCUGAGAAAAGGUUUCUAUUAGUAUGAGAAUCAAGAAUGGAAUUUUAUUUUUUUAGGCUUUGCAUCAUUUCAAAAAGUGUUAGUCAUCUCAAGUAUUGCUUCCCCCUCUAGUUAUGUAGUAUGGCUAGCAAACUGCGAUGGCGUCAAACUAGAAUUUUCUAGCUGUUGGCUUCUACUUUAACAUCAGCUUCCAGGACCUUCCCAAACUUGCUCUGUGAAGUAACCCCAAAAUAUGAACAUGAAUUUUGUUAUGACUAAUGAGGCACUGAGGUGCACUGCAUUGGUCAGUGGUAGUAUCACCUUCAGUAAUGAAAAACAGAGGAUUCAAAAUGGCACCAAUCUUUAUGUACCAACUUGUCCAACAAUAAACGUUCAAAAUGGAACUUCACUUUCAAUUUGUCCUAGUCAGAUUCGGUGGCUGCCCAAAUUCAGCGACAAUGGCGUCCAGGGAAUGACAAGGUCUGGACUAAGGAGAGGGCAAGUAACUCACCAUGGCUAUGGAGGACCGCCAGCUAUAGUGCGCCGCAGACAAACAGGAAUCUCCGCCUGUGAGAAGGAGAUCCGCCCUAGUACAACCGUAGAACCUAAAACAAAUAAUAAGGGAGCGGAAUACUUGACUAGUUUUUCAACAGAGUGCAUACAGAAGCAGGAGUUGUAACAAAGCACUUACAGAAGAAGACUGGCUCUGAAUAGUUUCCUCAGAAGCUGAUUAAUGGCCCCUACCGGCAGCAAGCUAUUCAGGACUCUGCAUCGAAGAUAGAAGCUACCUAUGUUAUAGGAAUAUAAGUUGGGAGUUGUGUGAUGAUAGGCAAAAAAUCAGCAAAUAACACAGGCAAACUUGCCAGUGAUAAAUUGAAUACUUUCAAUUGCAUCUACAUCAUGCAAGACAAUCAUACUGGAGAGGAUUGAAAGGAAAUAGCCCAAUAUUCACAAGGAUUUGUUAUGAAAUGUUUUUUCCUCACAACUUCAGGCCCAAAUCUCAAAACAAAAUUCGGAGCAAUUACAUUAUCAGAUUUAAAACUAACGGAUUCCCUAAAGGGCUCAUUUGGCUGCACGGACAACACAUAGGAAGCGGCCAUCUUAUGGACUCCCGGAUCCACCAGCUGCAACCAAAUCGAAUCGAAACCCAGAGAUGAUGGGAUGGGAUGGGAUGGGAUGGGAUCGAAUUGAACGGAGCAAUGGGUAGGGACGGGUAGAUCUGGACAGCAGGGGACUGGGAGGUGAGGUCGUGACGUCUCGCCGGCUAUGGGGAUGGACGGGACGGAGGGUGAUGGGGGAGGACGGAGGUUGCGAGGUGAGGCGAGGCUCCUCACCGGAGAAGGCGAGCGGCGGGGUCGCUGCUGGUGCCAAGGAGAGAUGAGGCAGGUGGCGUCGCUCGUCGUAGAGGAGAUCGCAGGAGAGGGAGACGGCGUCGGAGGAAAGCGGGUCGGGUCGGGUCGAGAGGCGGAGAAAUUUGCGUGCGUCGUUCACGGCUCCCCGGUUGUCACGGGCGUACUACACUUACCGAUUGGGAGAUACUAGCAUCUCCAGCCCUUGAGCCUCGAGGAGGCAUUAUUUUUGCCCUUUGAGGGGCUGCCGGCGAAUUUUUUUUCUAGGGUUGAGAAAAG